rnacentral:rRNA from 1 species
GCUCAGGACGAACGCUGGCGGCGUGCUUUACACAUGCAAGUCGAACGAUGAUGGGGUGCUUGCAUCCCUGAUUAGUGGCGAACGGGUGAGUAACACGUGAGUAACCUGCCCCAGACUCUGGGAUAACUCCGGGAAACCGGGUCUAAUACUGGAUAUCAUUUCUGCCUGCAUGGGUGGUUGUUGAAAGGGUUUCUGGUCUGGGAUGGGCUCGCGGCCUAUCAGCUUGUUGGUGGGGUGAUGGCCUACCAAGGCGAUGACGGGUAGCCGGCCUGAGAGGGUGACCGGCCACACUGGGACUGAGACACGGCCCAGACUCCUACGGGAGGCAGCAGUGGGGAAUAUUGCACAAUGGGCGCAAGCCUGAUGCAGCGACGCCGCGUGAGGGAUGACGGCCUUCGGGUUGUAAACCUCUUUCAGUAGGGAAGAAGCUUUCGGGUGACGGUACCUGCAGAAGAAGCGCCGGCUAACUACGUGCCAGCAGCCGCGGUAAUACGUAGGGCGCAAGCGUUGUCCGGAAUUAUUGGGCGUAAAGAGCUCGUAGGCGGUUUGUCGCGUCGACUGUGAAAACCCGCAGCUCAACUGCGGGCCUGCAGUCGAUACGGGCAGGCUAGAGUUCGGUAGGGGAGACUGGAAUUCCUGGUGUAGCGGUGAAAUGCGCAGAUAUCAGGAGGAACACCGAUGGCGAAGGCAGGUCUCUGGGCCGUUACUGACGCUGAUGAGCGAAAGCAUGGGGAGCGAACAGGAUUAGAUACCCUGGUAGUCCAUGCCGUAAACGUUGGGCACUAGGUGUGGGGUCUGUUUCCACGGAUUCCGCGCCGUAGCUAACGCAUUAAGUGCCCCGCCUGGGGAGUACGGCCGCAAGGCUAAAACUCAAAGGAAUUGACGG